rnacentral:rRNA from 1 species
UGGGCAACCUGCCCUCAGCUCUGGGAUAACUCCAAGAAAUUGGGGCUAAUACCGGAUAUGACCGCUGACCGCAUGGUCUGGUGUGGAAAGAUUUAUCGGCUGGGGAUGGGCCCGCGGCCUAUCAGCUUGUUGGUGGGGUAGUGGCCUACCAAGGCGACGACGGGUAGCCGGCCUGAGAGGGUGACCGGCCACACUGGGACUGAGACACGGCCCAGACUCCUACGGGA